rnacentral:lncRNA from 1 species
UGAAAAUGUAGACAAUGGCUGGGCCUUCAUCCAAUACUGAUGGAAGCAGAGGCAGACACCCACAGCUAAACACUGAGCUGAACUCUGGAGUCCAGUUGAAGAGAGGGAGGAGUGAUGAAAAAAGGGGUCCAGACCAAGCUGGAGAAACCCACAGAAACAGCUGACCUGAACAAGAGGGAGCUCACGGACCCCAGACUGAUAUCUGGGAAACCAGCAUAGGACUGUUCCAGACUCCUUGAACAUGGAUGUCAGUUUGGAGUCUGGGCUUCUGGUAGUGGAUUGUAGUGGAUCAGUAUUUGUCCCUAG